AGAAUGAGUGCACUUAGAGGAGCAAAGGAUACAAAGGUCGCUAGUCAGAAGUAACAGAAGCUGCCCAUCUCUUUGGAUCUUUUCCAGUUAAUGGGGAGAUUCCUGCCCACGUUCAUCUAUGAAGGCCAUGUACCUUGUCUUAGUCCUUCUCUUUGUGCUGGUGGAACCUCCAAGCAUCCUUGCACUGAUAGCAGGCAAAGAGGCUUGUAGAGCACACAGAGGCUUUUGCUUGGGAUUUUCCUGUAGAUUCCCUUUAGAUGAAUAUCUUGGACAGUGCAGUACGUUAUCAGCUUGUUGUGCAUUCUGAAGCGAAUUUUCUCAGGAAAAACUUUCAAAACAUAAACAUAAAAAAGCGACAUUCAGGUUAUUCUGGGGAAAAUAUCCAGCCGGGCAGCCAUCAGGCCUUACCCAAUCCCUCACGAGUCAGUGGAAAUCCAUUGUUACUCAAAUCAGUCCAUGAGCGAGGCCAGUCAUGGAACACUGUCCUCUACACAUCUUUUAUGAAUCUUUUAGUCUGUUGUAUAUGUGACUCCCAGUUUGACAUGAUAAAUCAUGGUUAAGAAAAGAUAGAAUGGAAACAACCACUUAACCAGCAACUAAUUGUAUUAUCCUAACAAAGAAACAGACUAGAAAAAUGAGAAAUCAGUAUGAAAAAGAGAAAAAAGCAAGGAAUUAUACCAUGAAAACUCAUUAAAAACAAUAAA